rnacentral:rRNA from 1 species
UACAGAGGUCUCAAGCGUUGUUCGGAUUCAUUGGGCGUAAAGAGCGCGUAGGCGGUCCGGUAAGUCAGCUGUGAAAGUCAAGGGCUCAACCCUUGAAAGCCGGUUGAUACUGUCGGGCUAGAGUCCGGAAGAGGCGAGUGGAAUUCCCGGUGUAGCGGUGAAAUGCGCAGAUAUCGGGAGGAACACCAAUGGCGAAGGCAGCUCGCUGGGACGGUACUGACGCUGAGGCGCGAAAGCUGAGGGGAGCAAACGGGG